CAGGCUUUGUUGCUCAAUGGCUCUUUACCUGAGGACGAGCAGGAAGGGUCCUUUGAGCUUUGUGAACGUGGGGCCUGCCCUGAAGAGCAGCUGAUCAUAAUCCGAAGUCGCCUGGACCAGAGUGUGGAAGAAAACCAAGACCUAAAGAAGGAGCUACUGAAAUACAAACAAGAAGCUCGAAACCUGCAGGGGAUAAAGGUGAGGAAAGGGGACACUUCAAAUAUGACUGGCAGAGCUUUAGUGUCUCCUGCAGCCCAUGAGUGG